AUUCCAUGGAAUAUCAGAUGAAAAGACCGGAAAAUAUUGAUGGAUUUCGGCAAUUAAACGUGAUGGAUGGUGCCUGACCAAAAUACACACACGCCUGUGUAGCGAUCGCUUCAUUUCAGUAAAUCCUUGGCCCGGAUCGAGCACCGCCGAGCCGGACACCUCACCACGGGAAACAUGGACGCUGCAGCUACCUGUCACAAUUGAUCAAUUCGUUAACGAUACGCUAUUGGUGACGCUGACCUAUCGAGAUAGGAGCUAUACGGGGAUAUUACUUGACGGCAACAAAAAUCACUCCCACCUGUCCAUACUGCUUUCCUUGGAGACCUUUACUGCAGUACUACAAUAAGAGGAGAGACACUGAAAUUCGUCAUCAACUUCGAUUUACAUGAUCAGUGAGAAGUUUCCAG